rnacentral:rRNA from 1 species
UACGUAGGGUCCGAGCGUUGUCCGGAAUUACUGGGCGUAAAGGGCUCGUAGGUGGCCAACUAAGUCAUACGUGAAAUCCCUCGGCUUAACCGGGGAACUGCGUCUGAUACUGGAUGGCUUGAGGUUGGGAGAGGGAUGCGGAAUUCCAGGUGUAGCGGUGAAAUGCGUAGAUAUCUGGAGGAACACCGGUGGCGAAGGCGGCAUCCUGGACCAAUUCUGACACUGAGGAGCGAAAGCCAGGGGAGCAAACGGG